UCCUCGAUCGUCUAGUGGUCAGGAUGCCACGCUUUCACCGUGGAGGCCGGGGUUCAAUUCCCCGUCGGGGAG